GGGGCGGUAGCUCAGCGGUUAAGAGCGCUGGCUGUUCUUCCAGAGGACCUAGGUCCAAUCCCUAGCACCCACA
rnacentral:tRNA from 1 species